rnacentral:lncRNA from 1 species
GGAGGAGGUGAUGUUUGAGGCUAGCAGUUAACCAGGCAAAGAUGGUAGAUGAGCAUUACAGGCGUGGGGGCUGAGACAUGGAAAUGAGAAACACUGUGGCUGGGAUGGAGCUCGGGGAAGUGUAAGGAGGGUGCUGGGAGCAAUUUGAUGCCAUCGAAGCCACAAACGGUGAAGCAGAAAAAAAGAAGGUGAAGCAGGGCAGAAAGUUCAUGGAAUUGACAUAGGGUACCUUUAAACAACUAAUCUGUAUUCUAAAGGGCA